rnacentral:rRNA from 1 species
GAUCAUGGCUCAGGAUGAACGCUAGCUACAGGCUUAACACGUGCAAGUCGAGGGGGCAGCAUGGUCUUAGCUUGCUAAGGCCGAUGGCGACCGGCGCACGGGUGAGUAACGCGUAUCCAACCUGCCUUACACUCUUGGACAGCCUUCUGAAAGGGAGAUUAAUACAAGAUGUUAUCAUGAGUAAGCAUUUUCGCAUGAUUAAAGGUUUACCGGUGUAAGAGUGGGGAUGCGGUUCCA